UAUCAUUUUUUAUUUGGAUAACAUAAUAAAAUUUUAUCAAAUUCUAAGGAAUCACUAAUUUAUGUAAUAUUAAUAAAUAUAUGAGUAAUUUAAUCAAUUUUUUAAAAAAAAUUACUAUUAGAUAUUUUGUAAUCGGAUCAAUGGUAUCAGAUUGCAGGUUAAUAGUGAGUUUUUGGAUUUUUACCUGGUUAUAUCAGAUUUUUAAUUAACGAAUUUUUCAUUAAAUCCGAACCGGAUUAUAUACAAUGUAUCGAGUCUAUAGGUCCAACCAUGAAUCUAGGUCAGCUAUGAAAACAAAGCUUAAAACUUAAACAUUAUCAUAGAACAACUACCAUAUUUCGAAAAAAUACCAUAUUUUGAAGAGAAAAAAAAUGAUAAAACCCUAAAAACUCAAUUGUUAUGGUGCGAAACAAAAAUAAUGAUAAUUUGCAAAUCAGUUUUCGAUUAAUAAAUGAAAAACAAACAAACCCGCGCUUUCUAAGCGCGGGUCAAAAUCUAGUUGACAUCUUUAAUUCUAAUUGAUUGGCCAAAAUUAAUUUUAUAUCGUAAACUAUUCUAAUAUCUUAUAUAGUUUUUUUUUCUUUUACUAAUCAUGUCUUAUGUAAUUUCAAAAAUAUUCAUUUGCUUAGUCAUAGUAAAAUUAAUCUACUUCUAUAGAGUUUAUUAACACUAACAAAAAAAUCCGCGCGUCCAUGCGGGUAUUAGUCCUUACGUUUUCAUAAAUUCAUAUUUAUUUUUUAUGAUUAAUGUUAUAUAUUUUGAAUAUGUUGACAUAUAACUAAUUAUGUUCAAAAGAUCUUGAUUUAACCGGAUAAUAAAAUUAUUUUUGGACGAAUAUUCCGUUUCAGAUAAUGUACAUUGGUUAUUUGUAUAUUCUAGGUCUCUAUACAUCAGAACUAAACCAUCUAAAUCCGGGAGGACCCAACGCAAAAAAUUAAUUUAAAAUCAUUAUUUUUGAAUGUUAAAUUGGACGGUGGACGAGAACUGAAUCGGACCGGACAGAUCUUGAACCUCUAUUCUUUGGUUGGAUCUUCAAUCUUUAAUCCGGACAUCUCUUGGAUCAGCAACUGUUUGAAACCUUGAUCUAUCAUCUCUUGGACGGCCUUGGUGAAGCCAUCUCUUAAGACCCGUGAUCCUGACCUGGUCGUAGGGCCCUUGCGGACUUGGAGAACCUCAGCUUGGUUGACCACAACAUUGUUCCUCGGGAUCGAGGCUCUUAACAUGCCAAUCACGACGUCUACAAAGCAUGAGUCUGUCACAGUAAAGUAGAGUAUCAAUGUUGUUUAAUUCUUGAAACUCGUCUGGGACUGGUUAAGUUGAACGUGUUUGGGAUACCGGAUCAAUGGUUUUGAUUAAUUUUUUUCAUACGAGUUUACAAAUAUUUUGAUUAAAUUUUACAGACGCGUUUCCAAGUCAUUGCCUACUCAAUUAUUGACACCCUAAAAUAUGGGAGUACAUAAUGUAUGUAAUAUAUUCAAAUCUUUAUAAAUAUUCGGAUACUUUCGGAUAGUUCAAAUACUUUAUAAUAUUUUAAUUAUUUUAAGUAUUUUUAAAUACUUUUAAUACAUUUUUAACUUAUAAAUAGAUAUUUGGUUAUGUUAUAUGUAUAUUUAAUAAAUAUUAUAUAUAUUUCGGUAUCUGUUUUGUUCUCGAUUUAGUUCCGGUUUGGUUCGGUUAUUUUGAAUAUAUAAAUCGAGUCAAUAAGAGAAUCUUUUAACAAAUAAAAUAAAUAAAUAAAUAAAAAUAUAUAAAAAAUGAUGAGAAAUAUUUGAGAAACCCAUAUGAGAUGUGUCAUUUUGUUAUUGGUUAGAAUUCAAAAAUAAUAUUGUAAUAUUACAUUUAUCAAAAUAUUAUAAUAUGAUAAACUUUGGCUUAGAGAGAUUAUAAAUGUUGAUUCUCCUAGCUUUACUGUAAAAGCUGGUUCGAACAAGAAUGAAAGUCACUAUCAAUCGCUCUUUUGAGUAAGUGUAUAAUUCCAAGUUAAGAAAAACAAUGUUAAAGCCGGAAUCAACAAAGCUUCUCUAUCUGUUUUCUAGAAACCGAGUUUUUUUAUGAUAAAUACGCAAGUUAGGAGAAGAUAGAGUUGAAGAAAGAGUCUUCAUUUCAGAACCAAAGAUUAAUCUCCCUACACGACAAAAGCAAGGAUCAUGUGUAAGUUAAAGAAUCAAACAAAUCAUUUUUUCUUAAUCUCAAACAACAUUUGCGUGCUUUCGUCCAAAAAAAACAACAACAUUUGCUUGCUAAUAGUCAUAUAUAAAGUGAAAAUAUGCGACGUCAAAAAAAAGGUGAAAAUGUGGCAAAAGACCAUGAACAAAAAUAUAAAUCUAGUAUUUUAGCAUGUCAGAGAAUUAAAGUUAUUCACAUCAGCAAAGUGUUCAUACCAAAAGGUCCACAGAAGAAAUUUUUUAUUUCUUAAGUCGUUGCCCUUCCAGGAUUUGUAGAAUCCGAAUGGGUUAUCAGCUGAGAUGAUGUUGAAACCCUACACAAAGAUUUUAUGUCCCCCACCAUCUUCUCUUUCUCCUCGAGACUGUAGUAACAUCCUGGAAGGACUGUGGCCGUCUUUAAACACUUUGAGUUUGCAAUGAUGUAUGCCACACAUUCUCUCUCUUGUCUUCUUCUUCCCCCAAACUUAUCCCACACAAAGAUUUCGAGAUGGGCCAACAAGCAUCCCGGUACAGAACUUUGUUGGUUCCAUGAAAGUGGGAGGUCCUCGUAGUAAAGACCCACACCCUGAAAAUCAACAAGGAAGAAUAAUAAACUAAUUUUACUAUAAACUAAUUGUUUGAUGGAUAGGGAGGAAGUUACUUACGUAGCUGAUCAGAUGUCCGGAUUAAAGAUUGAAGAUCCAACCAAAGAAUAGAGGUUCAAGAUCUGUCCGGUCCGAUUCAGUUCUCGUCCAUCGUCCAAUUUAACAUUCAAAAAUAAUGAUUUUAAAUUAAUUUUUUGCGUUGGGUCCUCCCGGAUUUAGAUGGUUUGGUUCUGAUGUAUAGAGACCUAGAAUAUACAAAUAACCAAUGUACAUUAUCUGAAACAGGUUCGGAAUAUUCGUCCAAAAAUAAUUUUAUUAUCCGGUUAAAUCAAGAUCUUUUGAACAUAAUUAGUUAUAUGUCAACAUAUUCAAAAUAUAUAACAUUAAUCAUAAAAAAUAAAUAUGAAUUUAUGAAAACGUAAGGACUAAUACCCGCAUGGACGCGCGGAUUUUUUUGUUAGUGUUAAUAAACUCUAUAGAAGUAGAUUAAUUUUACUAUGACUAAGCAAAUGAAUAUUUUUGAAAUUACAUAAGACAUGAUUAGUAAAA